rnacentral:lncRNA from 1 species
GUUAAUGAAGUUAGUGUUGUCUCCAGGAUUAAGAAAACAUGCUUCCUCUAAUAAAUCAAAGAUCAUCAGAGGCUCGUGGUUUGGAAUCCCAGUCUGGAGUUGGCAUUCCAAUUCGCCCUCGGCCUGCCACAGCUAGAUUGAAUUUGCUGUUUCUGGACUCAAGUGCUGAACAAGAUCCUGGUGCCUCAGAGGGAGCUGCUUAUUCCACGAUUCCCAAGACAGCUUCAUCCAGACACUGGCCAUGUAUUGGUGACAGAUUUGUAAUGAACAGUCAGGGUUUUAUCCUGGCCUUUAUUUCCAUCCUUCCGGCUCUGUUUUCCCCACAUCUCCUAAUGAAUAAAGGCUGCAUUUUUUGA